UACAGAGGGGGCAAGCGUUGUUCGGAAUUACUGGGCGUAAAGGGCGCGUAGGCGGCCUGUUAAGUCGAACGUGAAAUCCCCGGGCUCAACCCGGGAACUGCGUCCGAUACUGGCAGGCUCGAAUCCGGGAGAGGGAUGCGGAAUUCCAGGUGUAGCGGUGAAAUGCGUAGAUAUCUGGAGGAACAUCAGUGGCGAAGGCGGCAUCCUGGACCGGCAUUGACGCUGAGGCGCGAAAGCCAGGGGAGCAAAGCGGG
rnacentral:rRNA from 1 species